UAGGGAAUCUUCGGCAAUGGGGGGAACCCUGACCGAGCAACGCCGCGUGAGUGAAGAAGGUUUUCGGAUCGUAAAGCUCUGUUGUUAAGGAAGAACGAGUGUGAGAAUGGAAAGUUCAUGCUGUGACGGUACUUAACCAGAAAGGGACGGCUAACUACGUGCCAGCAGCCGCGGUAAUACGUAGGUCCCGAGCGUUGUCCGGAUUUAUUGGGCGUAAAGCGAGCGCAGGCGGUUAGAAAAGUCUGAAGUGAAAGGCAGUGGCUCAACCAUUGUAGGCUUUGGAAACUGUUUAACUUGAGUGCAGAAGGGGAGAGUGGAAUUCCCUGUGUAGCGGUGAAAUGCGUAGAUAUAUGGAGGAACACCGGUGGCGAAAGCGGCUCUCUGGUCUGUAACUGACGCUGAGGCUCGAAAGCGUGGGGAGCGAACAGG
rnacentral:rRNA from 1 species